rnacentral:rRNA from 1 species
GACGAACGCUGGCGGCGUGCUUAACACAUGCAAGUCGAACGGAAAGGCCCUGCUUUCGUGGGGUGCUCGAGUGGCGAACGGGUGAGUAACACGUGAGUAACCUGCCCUUGACUUUGGGAUAACUUCAGGAAACUGGGACUAAUACCGGAUAGGAGCUCCUGCUGCAUGGGGGGGGUUGGAAAGUUUCGGCGGUUGGGGAUGGACUCGCGGCUUAUCAGCUUGUUGGUGGGGUAGUGGCUUACCAAGGCUUUGACGGGUAGCCGGCCUGAGAGGGUGACCGGCCACAUUGGGCCUGAGGUACGGCCCAGACUCCUACGGGAGGCAGCAGUGGGGAAUAUUGCACAAUGGGCGGAAGCCUGAUGCAGCAACGCCGCGUGCGGGAUGACGGCCUUCGGGUUGUAAACCGCUUUCGCCUGUGACGAAGCGUGAGUGACGGUAAUGGGUAAAGAAGCACCGGCUAACUACGUG